rnacentral:lncRNA from 1 species
UCGGGUGGAGCUAGCUGGAUGGACGGAUUAACUAUUCACAUAAAUACUCAGUCAAUAAAAUAUUCUUAAUUUUUUUCCUAAGUCUAGACUCCUAGGAAAAUUCAAACUCAGAAAUUCUACCAAAAAUUCGGUAAAAUCUCCUUUAAAAUAUGGACGUUUACCUCCAUAUAACGGAUCCAAAACCUACUAGAAACACUUUAAAUAUUCUGUAAUUAUUUAAUGGGAGUCGGACUACUAAAACUACAUUAUUUUUUCCGACUUUGCAACACACCACAGAUCGCAAUUAUUUUAUAGACGGUCCGACAUAAUAUCUAUUUCACAACCAACCCACACAAAAUUUCUGGUAUUUAAACUAAUUCAACACAAUAAUUAAUCAUCCGCAAAUUGUGGCAUUUAUAUUUAAAUCACAAUUAAUUAAAUCUAAUUAAAUUUAAUUAUCUAAAAUUAAUAAUUAAUAGCAACAAUAUUCUCUAACAUUAUAAAAUAAUUUUUUAGAUCUAAAUAAAAUUAUACUGAGCCAAAAUUCUAAAAUUCUGCGUGUCCGAAAAACACCAGGGUCCGGAAGCUGAUAUUGUCAAGGGUGUCAGAAUUCGAAUCUGGAAGUGCCCACGUGAAGCUUGAGUCGCGAGAAGUCCAAAAACACAAUAGUUUUGGCUGGAAACUCGCCGGAAGACACCAGAUCAAGGCUGGAAAGUCUUGACUCCGGCGAGGACAAACGCAACUACCGGCGGGGGAUUUCACGGCUAGGAAGCUCAGCCCAAAGGUUUCCGGUGCCUAGGAGCUCAAUUCUAGCGUCGGACAAGCGGUGGGACGUCGACAGGUGGCCGAUUCGGUGACGACAACCCCUUUCUUUCUUCGGUCGAUGUCGACAGUGGGAGAAAAGAGAAGGGGAAGGUGGCGCGGCGACAAGGAAGGAAGGAAGAGAGGCAGGGCAGUGGCGGCAGCGUUGGCAGUGUUGGCUGAAGGAGGCAGAAGUCGAGGAGGGAGAGAGUGAGCAGCGGAGCAAGAAAAGAGAGGNNN